AUACGUAGGGGGCAAGCGUUAUCCGGAUUUACUGGGCGUAAAGGGCGUGUAGGCGGUCUUGCAAGUCAGAAGUGAAAUUCCUGAGCUCAACUCGGGCGCUGCUUCUGAAACUGCAGGACUUGAGUGCUGGAGGGGAUAGCGGAAUUCCUAGUGGAGCGGUAAAAUGCGCAGAUAUUAGGAAGAACACCGGUGGCGAAGGCGGCUAUCUGGACAGUAACUGACGCUGAGGCGCGAAAGCGUGGGGAGCAAACAGGAUUAGAUACCCUGGUAGUCCACGCGGUAAACGAUGAAUGCUAGGUGUAGCGGGUAUCGACCCCUGCUGUGCCGCAGUAAACACAAUAAGCAUUCCGCCUGGGGAGUACGGCCGCAAGGUUGAAACUCAAAUGAAUUGACGGGG
rnacentral:rRNA from 1 species